GAUGAACGCUAGCGGCAGGCUUAACACAUGCAAGUCGAGCGCUACCUUCGGGUGGAGCGGCGGACGGGUUAGUAACGCGUGGGAACGUACCCAGAUCUAAGGAAUAGCCUCUGGAAACGGAGAGUAAUACCUUAUACGCCCUUUGGGGGAAAGAUUUAUCGGAGAAGGAUUAGCCCGCGUUAGAUUAGGUAGUUGGUGGGGUAAUGGCCUACCAAGCCUACGAUCUAUAGCUGGUUUGAGAGGAUGAUCAGCCACACUGGGACUGAGACACGGCCCAG
rnacentral:rRNA from 1 species